rnacentral:rRNA from 1 species
CCCGCCGGACCUGACUGCUAUCGGAUUGAUACUAAGCCAUGCGAGUCAUUGUAGCAAUACAAGGCAGACGGCUCAGUAACACGUAGUCAAUCUACCCUAUGGACGGGGAUAACCUCGGGAAACUGAGAAUAAUACCCGAUAGACCAUUAUGCCUGGAACGGUUUAUGGUCAAAAUAAUUUAUUGCCGUAGGAUGGGACUGCGACCUAUCAGUUUGUUGGUGAGGUAAUGGCCCACCAAGACUAUUACAGGUACGGGCUCUGAGAGGAGUAGCCCGGAGAUGGGUACUGAGACACGGACCCAGGCCCUAUGGGGCGCAGCAGGCGAGAAAACUUUGCAAUGUGCGAAAGCACGACAAGGUUAAUCCGAGUGUUUCCUGCUAAAGGAAUCUUUUGUCAGUCCUAAAAACACUGAUGAAUAAGGGGUGGGCAAGUUCUGGUGUCAGCCGCCGCGGUAAAACCAGCACCUCAAGUGGUCAGGAGGAUUAUUGGGCCUAAAGCAUCCGUAGCCGGCUGUGUUAGUUUUCGGUUAAAUCCAUGCACUUAAUGUAUGGGCCGCCGGGAAUACUGCACAGCUAGGGAGUGGGAGAGGUAGACGGUACUCGGUAGGAAGUGGUAAAAUGCUUUGAUCUAUUGAUGACCACCUGUGGCGAAGGCGGUCUACCAGAACACGUUCGACGGUGAGGGAUGAAAGCUGGGGGAGCAAACCGGAUUAGAUACCCGGGUAGUCCCAGCUGUAAACUAUGCAAACUCAGUGAUGCACUGGCUUGUGGCCAGUGCAGUGCUGCAGGGAAGCCGUUAAGUUUGCCGCCUGGGAAGUACGUACGCAAGUAUGAAACUUAAAGGAAUUGGCGGGGGAGCACCACAA